rnacentral:lncRNA from 1 species
UCCAAAUUCCCGGAGAUUGACGUCUUUGUUGACGUUUAUGUUCAACUUGGGAAUGAGUUGGCCGAGUCCCUUCAUGUAAGUAUUCUUUAAUUUUGAUUAUUAUCUUACGCAUUCAAGUUUCAGGGUUAUUAUAUGAAUGUUUUAAUUUAUAUUUUAUGUUAUGUUAAACAGACGAUGAUGGUGGAGAGGAGCUAGUUGGUUCUUCAGGACUCCGCCACCCAACUUCCUCCCGAUAAUUCGAUCGAGCUUGUGGAGGAUCCACAGAUUGACGGGAGGAGGCCGGGAACAUAUUGUCAAGUGACUGCUUUGACAGCGGCAAAAGAGGAGACAUUUCUGAAUCUCUACCACCAGAAGAUCAAAACCCUUUUACAUAUUCAGAGAUAUUGUUUC